rnacentral:lncRNA from 1 species
CUCGGAUGACCACAGUACUCUGGCUUGUCCCCUCCCCAGAAGGGUAGGGAUGUCCUAGAAUGUUUGCGCACGGAGACCAACGCUGCAGUUUGUGAAUUGCUCGUGUUCGCACCCGACGAUUUGGGAUUUAAUUAGGAUUAUGGUCAUCAGAACAAAAGGUUGGGAAGAUGGAGAGCAGCUUGAGACAGAGAGAGAGAGAGAGAAAGGGAAAAGAGCAGGGAAAGCUGAAACGAACCAAAUUCAAAGGGUGUGGCAUAUAACUAUCAAGACUCAAAAUAGAAGAGGGGUAAUUCAAUCUGCACCCUUUCAUUUACCACAAUCUUACUUUGUCCCUAAAUUUCGAUUUUAAACAUUCGACCCCUUUUACUUCAGUCAGCAUUAAUGUCAUGACCCAACCCACUUUCUAUGUAUGGGCCCAUCCAAGAUAUUAAUAUAUGGUCGUAACCGACCAUGAAUUUCUUACGAUGCCUUCACUUAACGGUUUAGGAAUUUCUACUCAAUAAGGAAAAUAUCAUAUGCAUUCAAUUUUUCGGAAGCAUGGUAAAUAAAUAGAGCUGAAGUGCCAAGAAAUUUUAUAAAACAUAAUUUAUAAUAAUAAAACAUUCAAUAAUUUACAACUACGAUUCUGGCCACAAGUCGGUCCAACGUUUAACACAAUACUAACUAUUAUAUUAGACACUUGUAAUUACUUAACGUUCAUUUUCCUGCAAUCUACGACGACACGUCUUAAAGCCACUAGAAUAGUGUGAUCAAUAUAUGUCAAAUUUACUAACCACUAUAAAAUUAUAAGUCAAUGAAUUCAUUUUAUCAUAAAAUAGUUUUUCAUAACAUUGACUUAUCUAGGCCUGAUCUUUUAUCAUAAUUUUGGCAUCAUCGAGGCUACAUUUUUCUCCAAUUUCAUAUCAAGUUAUUUUUAUAUAGACAUCAUACAUUCGACGAUCAGCAGUUCCUUAGGAGUGACCCCUAUAUAUAUAUAUAUAUAUAUAUAUAUAUAUAUAUUAUAUAUAUUAUAUAUAUAAUUAUAUAUAUGGCGUGAUAUCACCAGUGAUCAUCUGGUUUGAUUUCACCCUUAUUACUUUUACCUACUAAUUCGUUCCCCUAACUCGGAGUACCGUUUGAACUAUGUGUCAUUAAAUCAUAUUUAAAAUCAAUCAUUUUCUCAUAUCGUGCAUAUAAAAAACAACAUUCAUUCAUAACAUAUAUUCAUAAAAAAAAAUAUCAAUUUCAACAAGUUCGAACAACGCAUGCUUCAUUUAUGAAAUUUAAGUAAAUAAGACAUAUUAGAGACUCACUAAAAGUGGGUUUUUAAUUUUUCUAUGCCCAUAGGUUACGGUUCUUUGAAUUCGGAUCCUAUAUUUUUAAUAUUCGAAUCGUUAAAUCUAAUAGUCUCGUGGCUAUGAAUAAAAUACUAAAAUUUUAUAAUUUCUCAAGUUAGGAAAAUAUUUUUUUAAAAUUAAUAAUUUGGAUUAACAUACUAAAGAAAUUUUCUGUACAGAAAUUUGCUGACUGCAGCUUGGUUUAUGAAUUGUUUGAAUAUUGAAAACUUUUUCAAAAUUCAUGAAAUUAAAUACUCAACAACUAGACAUAAAUAUAUCACAUACAAAAUAUUCAGAUAUAUCUGAGGUAUGUAACUAUUUUUAUACAAUUUGCAAACUUUCUACUCAGAUUUUUGAAAACUUUGUUUAACCCAAACAUAACUCAUAUUUUUGCUACGAAGUUUCAAUACAAUACUAAUUCAAAUUAAAUAGUAACACAACAAUGUGUCACAUUAUCGUGAUCAUGUUUACACUUAAUUCUGAAGUAAUAUAAAUACAUAAAAUUUCACAGAGAAAAAUAGUGGUUUUUUACCGUUAAUAUUAAUAAAAUUAACAUCAAUAUUAAUUUCAUACUCGAUUCCGUGGGUCAGGGUCUCAUAUCCUCCCCACCUUAAGACGUUUGGUCCUCCAACUUGGUCCCAACACUAUUCACUUAUUGUUUUCAUGACUUGAUUCUAUCUAACUUAGAAAUGUAACUAAUAGCAUAUUAACAAAAUACAAGUAGUACCUUAUUUGAAUAGAUGCAGGUAUUUUUGUUGCAUAUCACUUUUCUUGUACCAAGUCGCUUAUUCACUUGAUUGGUUUUCCCACCAUACUUUGAUCAACGGAAUAACUUAAUAUCUAAGUUGCUUUAUUCUUGUAUCCAUGAUCCGCACGGGUCAUUCCUCGUAUUUUAGAUUCUUCUCGAAUUCAAUCGGUGGUCAUUUCAAUACAUGAGUUGGAUAUGCAACGUAUCUUUGAGUUGGAUAUGCAAUGUAUCUUCUAAGCAUGGAGAUAUGGAAAACAUCAUGAACAUUCGCAAGUUCUGGAGUUAAGGUAAGUCGAUAUGCUACCAAUUCUAUCUUCUCAAGGAUCUUGAAUGGUGUGCUGCUCAACCAGUUGAGAAAAAUCUUCAAAGACUUUCAUGAUUUGCACAACCGGUUGAACUCGCAAGUUUGAUCGGUUCACCAAGACUUCAGGAACCUUGUUCACCACAAACAAAAACUUUAUCACUAUUGUUCAACUGGUUGAACUCACAAGUUCUAUCAGUUCAACUAGAACAGAAACCUUAAUUUACCUUGUUCAACCGGUAGAACACGAAGUUCAACAGGUUGAACCUGGAAACCGAGGUCCUCCAAUUUUGAACAAAGACCAACUGCGCACGAUUGCCUUAGGCCAUAGCAUCUCAAACUCAAUCAUAGUCACACUGCGCACGGUUUACAACCAGGGGAAGAAAAUUUUUAUUUCAUUUUCCUUUUGUUUAAACAGCAAAAUCUUUUUACCGAAAUAAUUCUGGAAAAACUAAGCAGUUUUUACCGUUUAAACAUUCUAUCCUAGCUACAAUUAUGAAACUAUUUUCUAAAAAAAUUCUGGAAUUGGUAAUAUUCUGUUUUUAUUAUCAAAAUUGUCUUCAUAAAACCAUUUUAAGAAAAACUUAACAACUUUUUCAAACAACUUUUUCUCAUUUUUUUCCUCUCUCCAGAAACCAUUUAUGAAAAUUAACUCUUAAAAAAGUUUUCAAACUUUUAAAAACAAAAAUGUUCCAACCCGAAAAAUAACCAAGGAAAACAAUUCUGUUUUCCAAUUAAGGGAAACAAAUUGUUUUAAAAUCACAGUUUCUGUUUUUAAUAAAACAGAAUAAAACUGUUUUAGAAAAAUAUACCAACCGGUUGAGGGAUGUUUGAACCGGUUGAAUUGUAAUAGAUUACAAUCUUGCAUUUCAAACAUUAGUUUCCAAAAACAGAAAUCAUAUUCAGUAAUUCAAUUUCCGAUCUCUAGAAGAAUCUUUCUUAAGUUUGUUGGGUAAAAUAGUUCGGCAUAUACAGAAUUUCAUAUAAUAAUUUUAUUAAAGAACAAUAAAACAUAAUUAUUUUUAUUAAGAACAUAAACUAUAAAUUACACCUUCACGGUUGAUAAUUUACAAAAUAUAAAAUUACAAAAUUGAGAUUACAAUAACUGAAAUGUGCAGAAACUAAUUAAGAAAUACAAACAGUAAAUUAGGCCGAAUCCUACAAUCGCAGUCCCCUUUCUUAUUCACCGCCUAUCGAGGGUGUUGUAUGAUUUUGUCGACGUCUUCCUUUUGGGAUAAAACAGUUAAACCGCGAACUACGAAAAUACUUCUGUAGCAACCUUGGCGAAAAGAUUCAGUGCCUGUCUCUCUCUCUUGCAAAGGAAAAGACUCCGAAUAUUUUUUUUCGCUUUCACUUCUUCUAUUUUAACACAUGAAGACCAUAGUUUAUAUAAAACAAAACAAAACAAAACUGCUGGAAUUCAAUAAUAAAAACUGCUGCCAUCAUUCCUCCUCAUGAGGGUUAUUAUCGCAAUAAAACAGCUGCCAUUAUAACUACUAUUUACAGCCAAAAACUGCUGCCUCUAUAGCUUCAUUCACAUUAAAUUUAAAACAAUUACAACUCCAAAAUCUUGAACAAUGAUACUCCUACGAAGAGGUCUGUAAAUUAGUAUUCCUUUUUCUCAAAUUAGCGAUGUGCAAUCUAAGAAAGGUAAGGUAAACUAAAUUGAUUAAGACUUGGGAUUUGGGUCGUGGACCCUUCACAAUGAAACUCUAGGGGACUAUUUACCCAAAAAGGUUACAGCAGCAACUUCAUCUAACUGCCCAUUUCUCCAUCUUUCUCUGUGCUCCAUGUUCUCCCAUAUUCUUUCAUAACUUUGCUCAACUUGUGGAUGAAUAAGAGCUUGUCACGUGUCCUACAAUAAUAUUAAUAAUAAUAAUAAUAAUCUUUUUUAUGGUGUACACAAAAAGAUAAUUCAUAAAAAAUAAAAAUAAAUUUAGAUAAAUAAGAAGUUGCUAUAUCAAAUUUGACCUCAUUAUUCUGAGUACGUACCCAUAGCUCAUUAUUCUUGAUUUAUCAACCCUGGUUGAAAUAUGACAGGAUAAUUAAGGAGAGCUUCAGGUUGCACGUAUUUAGAAUUAUAUCAAUGAGCAAACUGGAAAUUUACGAACUCACAUUCGCAUGUAUAACAAACUCAAUAAACAAUUCUCCCUCUUUUUUUAACUAAAAAUUUAAUAUAUUAUAAAUAAAAAUUUUCACUAUAAUUUUCAAUUAAACAAUUCACUUUCACACACCAUUACUAUGUAUUUUAAUAUAUAUUUUUUAUACAUUUUUUUUGUGUGGAAUUAUAAAUUUAUCAUUCCUUUUUAUAUUGUUUAGUGAAAUGAUAAAUUUAUCAUUCUACGAUUUACACAUAUGUAGCAAACACGCAUAAUAUGAGAAUUUAUUAAAAUAAUCAAAAAAAAUAUUCAUUCCAGAAUUUAUUGAAAAUCUAUUGAAAUAAUAAAAAAAAUUCAAUUCAUAAUUUUUUUCGUCUUAUGUUGUUGACGUCGUAUUUACCGUCGUUGACCUUGUCACUGUCACCAUCUUUACCAAUGGCUGGAGGUAGAGCCGGCUUUGUCACCAUCAGCGCCUAUCGUCAAUCCAUUUCCCUUUUAAAUAAGGGUAAAAAGCAAAAAAUAUAAAAUCAGGAUUU